UCCGCAAUGCGGCAGCCUAACACAUGCAAGUCGAGCGGUAACAGAUCUAGCUUGCUAGAUGCUGACGAGCGGCGGACGGGUGAGUAAUGCAUAGGAAUCUACCCGGUAGUGGGGGAUAACCUGGGGAAACCCAGGCUAAUACCGCAUACGUCCUACGGGAGAAAGGGGGCUUUGGCUCCCGCUAUCGGAUGAGCCUAUGCCGGAUUAGCUGGUUGGUGAGGUAACGGCUCACCAAGGCGACGAUCCGUAGCUGGUCUGAGAGGAUGAUCAGCCACAUCGGGACUGAGACACGGCCCGAACUCCUACGGGAGGCAGCAGUGGGGAAUAUUGGACAAUGGGGGCAACCCUGAUCCAGCCAUGCCGCGUGUGUGAAGAAGGCCCUCGGGUUGUAAAGCACUUUCAGCGAGGAAGAACGCCUGGUGGUUAAUACCCGCCAGGAAAGACAUCACUCGCAGAAGAAGCACCGGCUAACUCCGUGCCAGCAGCCGCGGUAAUACGGAGGGUGCAAGCGUUAAUCGGAAUUACUGGGCGUAAAGCGCGCGUAGGUGGCUUGAUAAGCCGGUUGUGAAAGCCCCGGGCUCAACCUGGGAACGGCAUCCGGAACUAUCAGGCUAGAGUGCAGGAGAGGAAGGUAGAAUUCCCGGUGUAGCGGUGAAAUGCGUAGAGAUCGGGAGGAAUACCAGUGGCGAAGGCGGCCUUCUGGACUGACACUGACACUGAGGUGCGAAAGCGUGGGUAGCAAACAGGAUUAGAUACCCUGGUAGUCCACGCCGUAAACGAUGUCGACCAGCCGUUGGGUGCCUAGCGCACUUUGUGGCGAAGUUAACGCGAUAAGUCGACCGCCUGGGGAGUACGGCCGCAAGGUUAAAACUCAAAUGAAUUGACGGGGGCCCGCACAAGCGGUGGAGCAUGUGGUUUAUUUCGAUGCAACGCGAAGAACCUUACCUACUCCUUGACCAUCUACAGAAGCUCGAGAGAGAUCUCUGUGGUGCCUUCCGGGAACUGUUAGACAGGUGCUUGCAUAGCUGUCGUCAGCCUCGUGUUGUGAAAUGUUGGGUUAAGUCCCGUAACGAGCGCCACCCCUUGUCCUUAUAUUGCCAGCCGGGUAAUGGCCGGAAACUCUUAAGGAGACUGCCCGGUGACAACCCGGAAGGAAGUGGGGAACGACGUUCCAGCCAUCUAUGCCCCUUACGGGAUAGGCUCACACGUGCCUUCAUUGCCGGGAAACUAGGGCCUGCAAGCUCCGAGAUUCACGCAUCAUAAGCCGGCUCGAUGUCCCGGCAUACGGAAGUCUCGAUGCACAUCG
rnacentral:rRNA from 1 species